rnacentral:rRNA from 1 species
UACGAAGGGGGCUAGCGUUGCUCGGAAUCACUGGGCGUAAGGGUGCGUAGGCGGGUCUUUAAGUCAGGGGUGAAAUCCUGGAGCUCAACUCCAGAACUGCCUUUGAUACUGAGGAUCUUGAGUUCGGGAGAGGUGAGUGGAACUGCGAGUGUAGAGGUGAAAUUCGUAGAUAUUCGCAAGAACACCAGUGGCGAAAGGCGGCU